GGGUCAGUAGGUUGGUCGUGCCACCGGUACGUACUGGUCUCACUGAUUCCUCCUGCCUGAAGAACCGUAAUGCCAUUAAUUUGGUGUUGCGGGGAAACAGGACUGUUACUUUGAAAAAAUUAGAGUGUUUAAAGCAAGCUAACGCUUGAAUACAUUAGCAUGGAAUAAUGAAAUAGGACGAUCGAUCCUAUUUUGUUGGUUUCUAGGAUUGACGUA
rnacentral:rRNA from 1 species